rnacentral:rRNA from 1 species
UACGUAGGGUGCAAGCGUUGUCCGGAAUUAUUGGGCGUAAAGAGCUCGUAGGCGGUUUGUUGCGUCGGCUGUGAAAUCCCGAGGCUCAACCUCGGGUCUGCAGUCGAUACGAGCAAACUAGAGUGUUGCAGGGGAGACUGGAAUUCCUGGUGUAGCGGUGAAAUGCGUAGAGAUCAGGAAGAACACCCGUGGCGAAGGCGGCUCUCUGGGACGGUACUGACGCUGAGACGCGAAAGCGUGGGGAGCGAACAGG